rnacentral:rRNA from 1 species
GCGGGAAGCCCUUCGGGGUACAUCAGCGGCGAACGGGAGAGUAACACGUGGGUGAUCUGCCUUGCACUCUGGGAUAAGUUUGGGCAACUGGGUCUAAUACCGGAUAUGACCAUGGGAUGCAUGUCUUGUGGUGGAAAGAUUUAUCGGUGCGAGAUGGGCCCGCGGCCUAUCAGCUUGUUGGUGGGGUAAUGGCCUACCAAGGCGACGACGGGUAGCCGGCCUGAGAGGGCGACCGGCCACACUGGGACUGAGACACGGCCCAGACUCCUACGGGAGGCAGCAGUGGGGAAUAUUGCACAAUGGGCGGAAGCCUGAUGCAGCGACGCCGCGUGAGGGAUGACGGCCUUCGGGUUGUAAACCUCUUUCGACAGGGACGAAGCGUGAGUGACGGUACCUGUAGAAGAAGCACCGGCCAACUACGUGCCAGCAGCCGCGGUAAUACGUAGGGUGCGAGCGUUGUCCGGAAUUACUGGGCGUAAAGAGCUUGUAGGCGGUUCGUCGCGUCGAUUGUGAAAACUUGCAGCUCAACUGCAAGCUUGCAGUCGAUACGGGCGGACUAGAGUACUGCAGGGGAGACUGGAAUUCCUGGUGUAACGGUGAAAUGCGCAGAUAUCAGGAGGCAACACCGGUGCCGAAGGCGGGUCUCUGGGCAGUAACUGACGCUGAAAAGCGAAAGCCUGCGUAGCCAAACAGAUAUAAUACCCUGGUUAUUCCACGCCGUAAACGGUGGGUACCUAGGUGGGGAUUUUCCUUCAGGGGAUC